UACGGAGGGAGCUAGCGUUGUUCGGAAUUACUGGGCGUAAAGCGCACGUAGGCGGCUUUGUAAGUUAGAGGUGAAAGCCCGGAGCUCAACUCCGGAAUUGCCUUUAAGACUGCAUCGCUUGAAUCCAGGAGAGGUGAGUGGAAUUCCGAGUGUAGAGGUGAAAUUCGUAGAUAUUCGGAAGAACACCAGUGGCGAAGGCGGCUCACUGGACCGGCAUUGACGCUGAGGUGCGAAAGCGUGGGGAGCAAACAGG
rnacentral:rRNA from 1 species